CCCGUGGCACCUCGCCUCCCCCGACCCCUCCGCCUCCCGCGCCACUGACCGCUCGGGUGCCGGAACCCCCCGGGCCCGCGAGUCAGCGUCAGUGGGAUAGGGUACUAAUAGGUGGUUCGCCCCGGUGGUCGUCGGAGGCCGAGAACCCUAGAGAGGGAGACACGUAGCAAUGGGUAGCAAGAAGAACAAGAGGGCCGCCGCCGCCGCUGCCGCCGCCGCCGCGGGGACGGGUGCUGGGAAGGUCAACGGCGAUGAGCCGCCGGUGGAUUUGAAGGCGGGGGCUGAUGGAGACGCGGUUCCCCCGCCGGUCGUUGAGCCGGCCAACGGCGGCGAGCCGGGGUCAGGCGAGGAGAAGCCGCGGGACCUUACGCCGGAGCCUGAGGCGGAGGGUUUCGAUGCGCGGGGGAAGGUGGCCCCGCGCUUCGGCGAGCCGCCGGUGGAAGCGAAGGGAGACGGCGUUCCGCCGCCGCCGCCGACGGCGGGGGCUGGAUCCGACGAGGAGGAGACGCCGCGGGACCAAUCCCCGUAUCCGGAGGCGGAGAGGCUGAAGGCGCUCAACGGCGUGCUCGUCAAGCAGGCGGUCGAAUCGCGGGGGCAGGUGGCGGCGCUCGCCGCGCGCGUCGAGGAGAGCUCCGCCGACGCCGGCGCGCUAGCCGGCGUCGAGGGCGAGCUCAUACGUGCCGUCCUCGCAGCGCCGCUCCUUGACGCCGCCAAGGAAGGCCAGGAGCUGCGAGCGCGCCUCGCGGCCGACCAGGCGGCGCUCCAGGCCGCGGAAGCGAGGGCGGCUCUCGAGGCGGAUGCCAGGGCCGGCGCCGCCGCGCGCCUCGAUGCGGCCGACGCAGAGAAGCUCCGGGUCCUGGGAUUGCUCGGGGAGAAGGAGGCGGAGGCCUCAGCUGCGUCCAAGAAUGUCUCUGAAUUGGAGGCCAAGGUUUCUGAAUUGGCAGGGAAGGCUGCUGAACUGGGUGCAGACAAAGACCGGCUGGAGAAGCAAUUGGGGGAGAAGACUGUCUUGGCUCACAGCGUCCUUGCUCAGAAGGCAGAGUUGGAAGAAAGUUUCAAGGAUUACAAGAUGAAUGCCGAGAAGUAUAAGCAGGAGAUGGAGGUGAAGAUUGGGGAGAAACUGAAGCAACUGGAAUAUUUGAAAUCCAUUAAGGUGCAAUUGGAGGCGAGGUUUCAGUCUUUGGAGAUGGAGCUCUCGGAUGCUGUGGCUAGGAAUGGGCAAUUGGAAUUGGAGGUGGAGAAGAGCAAGACAGAGUUAGCUGCUGCGAGGACAGAGGUGGAGAAGCUCAGGUCCGUGGUGGCAGAUCUCAAUAAGAAGCAGACCACGGUUUGCGCUCAGGCUGAAUAUCUCCGUGGUGAGAUUGACAAGAUGAUGGCGAUAAAAUGGGAAGCUGAGUCUGCAUUUUCUGCUGAGAAGACGAAGUUGGAGCGUGAGAUAGAUGGACUGAAGAGGAAGCUUGACAAGAUUGAAGCCAAUUAGAAUGCUGUCAUGGCCACUGUCAGCCAGAAAGACGCUGAGGCUGCAAAGCUGAGGGCUGAACUGGAGCAGCUGCGUGGCUCCAUUGCUGAGAAACAUGCUCUCUAUGAUAAGCUCAUGGCCGAGUCUUCCUGCCUCGAAGAUGACAAGCAUGCGGUUCUGAAAGAACUUAACGAGGUGAAGGCUGAAGGAGGCAAGCUCAGGAUGAGAAUUGGGGAGCUUGAGAGCUACAGUGGUGAGAAAGACCAUGAGAUUGGGGCGCUGAAGGCAGAAGUGGAGGACAAGGGUGAACAGAUUGAUAGCUUGAAUGGGGAUGUUGAGCGGCUGCAGCUCGCAGUCGCUGAGGCGCAGCAGAUUGGGAAGAGUGGCGUGUGGACAUGGCUCUGCCCUGCUACCACAACUGUUAUCGCCGCGGCUUCCUUCGCAUAUGCUGCUCGUAGCCGUUGAACAGAGAACACUUUUGCUCACUUUGUGGCACUUGCAAGUAUAUGCACAAACCAGAAUAACCAGGCUUCUGCUUAUGCCUCUUGCUACUAUAUAUGAACCGUGAGGUGCUAUAGAAUGAAGUCUUAAGUUUCUAUAUCUUACUUGCAUGUGUUACUGGUUUCUAGUGCUUUAUCUUCAUGUGUCCUGGAUGUUCGUUGUUCUAGUUUUGCACUCUGGCCUGUCAGAAUUAAUAAUCCAGUAUGUUUUCUGUUGUUCA